GAAACAGAAAAUGCUGGAAAAACUCAGCAGGUCUGGUUUUAAGACUGGUGGUGAUAACAGUCGGACGAUAGAGAGUACUUGUCUGGCACUUUUUGCAAACGGGGGAAUGUGCUGAUGAGAAUGUACUGCAACCCGUGAGCUGGGUGAAGAUGAAUACCGCCAUCAGAAAUGUCUAAAGUCCCACGUGCCGAUGUGGUUGGGAAAGGUGUUUAGCCCAUUACGACACAGUGCUGAAAGGGUUAAUUACACCGGCGAAAGUAUGAGAGGGGUCUCGGGACUGGAGUUGUCACUACAACUGGAAGAGGAAUUCGUAGAACAGCACUGAGCUGUCUCAUUCUCACAGUGCACCUUUAAGCACAGGAGGUUUGUCGGUGUAAAACGUGGUGGGAACUUACUAUGGUUUAAGCUGCAAAACAAUUGCUUUUGUGAUGUUUAACGUUUCUAUAUGGCAAUUUGUUGGCGUUUCAGGCAGUGGAAAUAAAGACUUAGUUGCAACAGGAAGAUAUAUGAAUCCACUAGUGAAAACCCCAGCUGUCAGUUCUAAAUCAUCCCGCUCUCCUACUCAAAGCAACAGAGAGCUACUUUAUCAGGAGAAUAAUCUGCGCACUGGAUUCCAUCUGGGAGUUUAGGGGGGU